GAUGAACGCUGGCGGCGUGCCUAAUACAUGCAAGUCGAGCGAACAGACGAGGAGCUUACUCCUCUGACGUUAGCGGCGGACGGGUGAGUAACACGUGGAUAACCUACCUAUAAGACUCGGAUAACUUCGGGAAACCGGAGCUAAUACCGGAUAACAUGUUGAACCGCAUGGUUCAACAGUGAAAGACGGUCUUGCUGUCACUUAUAGAUGGAUCCGCGUCGCAUUAGCUAGUUGGUAAGGUAACGGCUUACCAAGGCAACGAUGCGUAGCCGACCUGAGAGGGUGAUCGGCCACACUGGAACUGAGACACGGUCCAGACUCCUACGGGAGGCAGCAGUAGGGAAUCUUCCGCAAUGGGCGAAAGCCUGACGGAGCAACGCCGCGUGAGUGAAGAAGGUCUUCGGAUCGUAAAACUCUGUUAUUAGGGAAGAACAAAUGUGUAAGUAACUAUGCACGUCUUGACGGUACCUAAUCAGAAAGCCACGGCUAACUACGUG
rnacentral:rRNA from 1 species